AUUGAACGCUGGCGGCAUGCUUUACACAUGCAAGUCGAACGGUAACAGGGUGCUUGCACCGCUGACGAGUGGCGAACGGGUGAGUAAUGCGUCGGAACGUGCCGAGUAGUGGGGGAUAACGCAGCGAAAGUUGUGCUAAUACCGCAUACGUACUGAGGUAGAAAGUGGGGGACCUUCGGGCCUCACGCUAUUCGAGCGGCCGACGUCUGAUUAGCUAGUAGGUGAGGUAAAGGCUCACCUAGGCGACGAUCAGUAGCGGGUCUGAGAGGAUGAUCGGCAAAGCUGGGACUGAGACACGGCCCAGACUCCUACGGGAGGCAGCAGUGGGGAAUUUUGGACAAUGGGCGAAAGCCUGAUCCAGCCAUGCCGCGUGUCUGAAGAAGGCCUUCGGGUUGUAAAGGACUUUUGUCAGGGAGGAAAUCCCUAGUGCUAAUAACACUGGGGGAUGACAGUACCUGAAGAAUAAGCACCGGCUAACUACGUGCCAGCAGCCGCCGUAA
rnacentral:rRNA from 1 species